rnacentral:rRNA from 1 species
GUGGGGAAUAUUGCGCAAUGGGCGAAAGCCUGACGCAGCAACGCCGCGUGAGUGAUGAAGGCCUUCGGGUCGUAAAGCUCUGUCGGCAGGGACGAAACUCCGGUGGGAAUAAUACUCCAUCGGUUUGACGGUACCUGCAAAGGAAGCACCGGCUAACUCCGUGCCAGCAGCCGCGGUAAUACGGAGGGUGCAAGCGUUGUUCGGAAUUACUGGGCGUAAAGCGCGUGUAGGCGGAUCGAGUAGUCGGGUGUGAAAUCCCUCGGCUUAACUGAGGAAGUGCGCCCGAAACCAUCGAUCUGGAGGUCCGGAAGGGACCGGGGAAUUCCCAGUGUAGAGGUGAAAUUCGUAGAUAUUGGGAGGAACACCGGUGACGAAGGUGCUGGUCUGGACGGAUUCUGACGCUAAGACGCGAAAGCAUGGGUAGCAAACAGGAUUAGAUACCCGAGUAGUCC